UGGGGAAUAUUGCACAAUGGAGGGAACUCUGAUGCAGCGACGCCGCGUGAACGAAGAAGGCUUUCGAGUCGUAAAGUUCUUUUAUAUGGGAAGAUAAUGACGGUACCAUAAGAAGAAGCCCCGGCUAACUACGUGCCAGCAGCCGCGGUAAUACGUAGGGGGUUAGCGUUGUCCGGAAUCACUGGGCGUAAAGGGUUCGCAGGCGGAAAUGCAAGUCAGGUGUAAAAGGCAGUAGCUUAACUACUGUAAGCAUUUGAAACUGCAUAUCUUGAGAAGAGUAGAGGUAAGUGGAAUUUUUAGUGUAGCGGUGAAAUGCGUAGAUAUUAAAAAGAAUACCGGUGGCGAAGGCGACUUACUGGGCUCAUUCUGACGCUGAGGAACGAAAGCGUGGGUAGCAAACAGG
rnacentral:rRNA from 1 species